AUACUCUUCACGAAGGGGCUAUCUACACUUUACGCUGUUGAUACCCACUUUUUGGUGGUUCGCGUUUCUGCCCCUUUCUGAACCGAAUUGCUGCCUGCUCUUGCUCGCGUGUCGCGUUGGGUGUGGUCCGGAACGAAGAUGGCAGUAUAUAAGUACCUCAUGCCGAAUCGAAAAAACAAAAGCUGGGUAUUUUCGGUUUGGUUCUUGAAGGAGUCAACACAAUGGUUAAUGCUUAUAGCAAAAUAAGCUAUGGUCGUGUUGGGAAAUUGGCAUGGUUUUUGAAGGUUCGUCUUUUUCUUUAUCUUUUCACAAGUAAGUCAAUGCUUCAAUGUUCAUUAUUCUUGAAUUACGUUUACUUAAUUUGUGAAUUUAGGUUUUAUUAAUUCCUAAUUUUUUGUCUGAAAAACCCCUGUUUAUAUGUUGAUUUACAUGUUUAAUGUGUGUUUCUUCCAAAGUUGUUAAUUAGUGAAGAACAUGGCUGGUGUGUAACAAUUCUUUCUCUAAAUUAGACAAGAACAGCAAAAUAAGUGAUCUUCGUUUCGGCAAAUUUCCAUGGUGUUUGAAGGUUUCCGUGAUGCGUUUGUGGAUUGUCGAGUUCAAUCUAAUACCUGGCCGGGAUAAUUCAUUUGAAAUGGUGGUUAUCGAUGAGAAGGGUUGCAAGAUUCAUGCUACUGUCCAAAGGCACCUGAUUCAUUUGUUUAAGGGUGUUCUUAAGGGUGCACCUGAUUCAUUACCGGUAGUUGUUAUCCAAUUUGGAAAAAUUAGAUAUUUUAGGGGUAAACCUUUUUGUUGUUAACAAGUUAUAGAUGUUGUUUUUGUGAUUGUUGUGUUAAGGUUAAUAUUUUAAGUUGUUAAUUAUUCUGCCUUAGAAUUUCUUUUGAUUUUUUUUAUUGUGAAAGUGAGCACUCAAAGUAUUUGAAGAAAUGUCUCAAUAUGAAAAAUUGAUGGCUUUGUGGUCUUAUUUUUUGUGCUUUCAUAUAUUCAUAAUUGAUAUGGAGUAAUUUUACUUGGCUUUUUUUCUACGAAUAUUAGGUUGAUCAAUAUAUGGUUUUUUCUUUCUUUCUCUACAACCUAUAUGUUCCCUAACACUUUAGGUCUUUUGAUUAUGAAAGGUGUACAUGGAUUUAAUUCAGUGGUACACCUUCUAUAUGCAUAACUUGGAGGAGCUUAACAAAUGUUGGAGUCCAAGGCUUCUUUCUUUGAAUAUCUGAUUUGGAAGGUAAGUGGUGAUCUGCAUUGAACAACAAUAGGUUAGACCUGCAAUUUCAAAGGUUAAAUAAAAUGGUUGCUGUUUUUUAUAACAAAAUUUGGAUCUUCUUGCAUUUGAAUUUUUCCUAAUAGGUAGACUUGAUGCUCUCUCUCUCUCUUUGGAACUUAAAUUUCAAUGUAUCCAAAUGUGAAGUUAAGAAAGGAACUUAACAUGUUUGUGAAAAUGUACUCCUUCUAUCUCUGAUCAUUCACUGGAUUAGAAUGGAAACUUGAAAAAUAGAUACACAAUGACUUAUUGGUUUAAAUCUAUUAGAGUCCCCCAAACAAAAUGUAGUAUAAAUAUGGUGUAGGUUGAUUGACCAAAGUUGUUCAUUCCAAUAACUGUUUUUCUGUUGUUUUUUCCCACAUGUAGUUGCUCUUACAUCCUUUUUUUCCCUUUGGUUUUUUGAAAAUUG